AGAGUUUGAUCCUGGCUCAGGAUGAACGCUAGCGGCAGGCUUAACACAUGCAAGUCGAGGGGCAGCACGGGUAGCAAUACUUGGUGGCGACCGGCGCAAGGGUGCGUAACGCGUGAGCAACAUGCCCGUAUCAGGGGGAUAAUCCAGGGAAACUUGGUCUAAUACCCCAUAGUAAAUUUUUGGGGCAUCUCAAAGAUUUUAAAGCUUUGGUGGAUACGGAUUGGCUCGCGUGACAUUAGCUAGAUGGUAAGGUAACGGCUUACCAUGGCUACGAUGUCUAGGGGUUCUGAGAGGAAGGUCCCCCACACUGGAACUGAGACACGGUCCAGACUCCUACGGGAGGCAGCAGUGAGGAAUAUUGGACAAUGGAUGGAAAUCUGAUCCAGCCAUGCCGCGUGCAGGAAGACGGCCCUAUGGGUUGUAAACUGCUUUUGUAUGGGAGCAAUAAGAUCUACGUGUAGAUUGAUGAGAGUACCAUACGAAUAAGCACCGGCUAACUCCGUGCCAGCAGCCGCGGUAA
rnacentral:rRNA from 1 species